CCGACAGCACCCGAUCAGAGCCGAUAAGGAGUGGAACCGACUGGAGCCGAAUGACACAUCCCGAGUGAAGCCGAGUGGAACCGAAUGACGCGUCCCGAGUGAAGCCGAGUGUAGCCGAAUGAUGCUAGCCGAGUGGAACCGACAGCACCCGAUCAGAGCCGAUGUGGAUACGGUUCACAUGAGAAGACAUGAACUGCUGAGCCGAGCGAGGGAAAGCCGAGUGUAACCGACUGGAGCCGAACGACGCGUCCCGAGUAUAGCCGAGUGGAACCGACUGGAGCCGAAGUAGAUACGGUUCGCAUGAGAAGGGGAAAAAGGAGGGGAACAGGGUAAAACUAUGAAGGGGAUGGUUGUAUACAUGUGGACACGUCUCAGCCCGUUCACCUCCCCCCCCAAAAUCCAUAACUUUGUACCUUUACUAUUACCCCCUUAAGUUCCUGGAUCUUAUUAAUAGAAUGUAAAGACUAAUUGGGAAAGUGCGCAAAAUUCAACAUGCUUUGGGAUUUAAUGCUAGAACACGCAAAGAACAUGCAGCAUACUAAUAAAAACAUCAACUGGACGAAAGUUUGCACACCCGCCCUUGGUAUUUCAGUUUCUACAAGAAUGAUUCAAUGAGUGGAAAACACACAGAACAGAAUAAUGCAACACCAAAUAAAUGCAAUCAAGUCUCACCACACAGCCAUCCGGUCUUUGGGGUAGUUCAGGCGGUCGAUAGCACCCAGAACAUGCGGGAGAGAGUGCUCGGAGUUGCGGCACACCAGCGCCAUGAGCACCCGCGGAGCCAGCAGCGAAGACUCGGGGCUCCAGCGUUCCUCCAUAAAAUACCCGAACCCCGGGGUGAUGAGGGUGAUGAGCAGCGCCGAGGCUCCGGACAGCAGCAGGGCGAGCCGGAUCAUGGCGGGACUAGACGGGAAAGAGCAGCCUGAACGAACUCAACCUGGUCCGGGUCGGUGUGGCACACUCAUCCAUUGAAGUGCAGCUCCUAAAAAAUGUGCAGGAACGUCUCUGGUUACAUGCCUGCUGUGCCGCGCAUGCGCACACUGACAGACUCAACAGGCAGGCAGAUUCUCAGAUACAGGACGAUCCCUGAGGGCAGGAGCUUCAAACCCAGAUCUCUGGGUCCUAGCUGCUGUGCGGCACCCACGUACCACCCCACAACAGCAGAACUUUUUUUUUUUUUUUUAAACAAAUAAAUGAUCACAGUACCUAUA